rnacentral:lncRNA from 1 species
CAAGGGGAUAUGCUUGCUGGCUUCCAUCCCCCAAAUCCUGUCAACCUGGGCGUUCUCUUUCAGCCUCCCGAUGUUCAGACAGAUGUCAAGGGAGCAGUAUGCCUGAAGGCAGAGAAGAGUCUCAGACCUGGGAUAUCAACACUGAAUCUGGAAGGAGCCAUGAACUCAAAAGUGCCUGAUGUGGCAGAAAAACAAACCAGUCGUGUUCCAGAAGGAAGAAAGCAAAGACAUAAGGAUAAAAACAAAUUGUCAACAGAAGAAUCCAGCUGCAUACUUCCAGGCUACACUGCAGCCUUUAGACGAUAAACGCCAUAGCCAGGAAAUGGGUAUUUCAGACAGGAUGGAUAUAUGUCCAGCGACUUUGAU